rnacentral:lncRNA from 1 species
GGAGCGCGUUCGCGAAUCAUUUGAGUCAGUUCGGGAGUUCAGAGCGGGACCGCGAAUCAUUUGAAUCAGUUCAGGAGUUCAGAGCGAGUUCGCGAAUCAUUUGAGUAAAUUCGGGAGUUCGGAGCGGGAUCGCGAAUCGGAGUCAGUUCGAGAGUCCAUUUGAGUCAGUGGGUUCGCGAAUCAUUUGAGUCAGUUUGGCAGUUUGGAGCGUGAAUCAUUUGGGCCAGUUCGGGAGUUCGGAGCGUGAAUCAUUUUAAUCAGUUCGGGAGUUCGCGAAUCAUUUGAGUCUGUUCGGGCGCUCGGAGCGGGAUCGCGAAUCAUUUGAAUCAGUUCGGGCAUCACGGAGGCGGCAUGAGGAACUCCUGCUCCACUUAACGGUCUCGCUUCCCACGGAGGAGAUCGGAGGGAUACAAAAGAGGAGCAAUGACAGGAUGAGAAAGGACCAGGCCUAGACUUUAUUUUGUGUUUGGAGGGACUUGUCAGCAAAUCUACUUCACAGCACGUCAGUGAAAGCAGUUGACAGUUACAGACGUGUGUGUUGGAUCAGGGUCAGGGUCAGAUCUGAAUUCUGCAGGUUUCCUGGGAUGACUGUUGAAGAGAUCAGCACAUCAGAUGUUGGCCUGGACAGCUGUACCUACAGUACACCACACUGACUUCCUUGCAUGGAUAGCUGACUACUACUGUUAUGUUCUGUGAAGGUAUUUUUUUAUUUUAUUUUUUUUACUUGUAAGCACAGUGCAGUGAUAAUGGUCAAACUGUGUAUUUACAAUGUUAAAGUGGCUGAAAACAAUAAAUAUUCUUAUUAGAGAUAAAACUGCAUCGUUUUUAACUGUGUAGAGCAGUAGCGUUAUCUGAAUAAUUAGGCCUACUACGCUACUGUAAUUUUAAUAUUGGUCAUUGUGGUGGUACUUGGAGAGCCAAAUAUUUUCUGAGGUGGUACUUGGUAUAAAACGUUAUAGAUCAACUGCAUUAGAAAGUUGCAUUGGCACACCCAGUGAACAACGGUAACUUAAAGGGUUAGUUCACCCAAAAAUGAAAAUUAUGUCAUUAAUAACUCACCCUUAUGCUGUUCCAAACAUGUAAGACCUCCUUUUAUCUUCGGAACACAGUUUAAAGGGGGGGUGAAAUGCUUGUUUUCACUCAAUACAGGGCCGUCGCCAGAACAAACCAAAUGGGGGGGCAUUUAAUUUUCAUAGGGGGCACACUUUUUUUAAUGAUCUGAGACAGACCAUAACAUAAACUCAUAUUAGGCUAUAACUAAAAUAGACCACAAUAAUCUUGUUUUGUUUAAUUAUUCAAAUAAAAUACUUCACCGUUUGAUCUCAACGUCUCUGUUUAUUGUCUUUUAACAUUUCCAAAACCGCCAAAAAUUUAUUCUGAGAUCGCAUGCAACGCGCAGCUCAGCUGCGCAAAGGAAUUGCGUAUAAACAAUACAAUACUGUAUGCUUAACUAAAUGAAUUGCAUUAUUUAUAUAUACAUAUACAUAUACUUAAACACAAACUGCAUAU